rnacentral:ncRNA from 2 species
AAUUGAAUAAGCUUCAUAGGUGUAGGGAAUCCGGUGGGAAAUCCGGAGCUGUCCUCGCAACUGUUAGUGUAACGAAACGAUGGAAUCCACUGUGAGAGUAAUUUAUCACGGGAAGGUAUCGGAGUAGGGUGACACAAGCCAGUAGACCUACCUGUGAAGUCUUCAAAGC